CGCCCUGAGAGUCAGAAAUUUUAUACAGCGUCUCAUGCACCUCAUCCUGUGUUCUUCCGGGCUGAUGUUCUAGAAUUUCUCCGGAAGGCGAUCAGAAUUGAUUCUCAGAAGAUUGGUGAAGGAAAAAGCUUUGAAGGGUGAUCUCUCUGGGCCAGGCUAGUGGCCACUAUUUGGAAAACAAUGGCUCUCUUCUCCCCGGCAGAUCACGUCAGUGCGAGAUGCUUCAGGCUGUGGCUCAGUCCUAUUAGGGCAUUUCCAGAUACUAUAAAAUCUAGGAGUCUGUAUCUUCUUUUCCAUCCAAGAAUAAAUCACAGGGACAAUACCCUGAAGUUACAUGAAAAUACACAAGCUGAGGUUCAGCCAAAGAGCCCGACUCACCCAGAAGCGACUGUGCUCAUGCGUCAGGAUGCUUUAUUACACGGCCGAGUGAAGCCAGGUACCUCGUCCUCUCAAGUAUGA
rnacentral:lncRNA from 1 species